UACAGAGGUCUCAAGCGUUGUUCGGAUUCACUGGGCGUAAAGGGUGCGUAGGCGGGUCUUUUAAGUCAGGGGUGAAAUCCUGGAGCUCAACUCCAGAACUGCCUUUGAUACUGAAGAUCUUGAGUUCGGGAGAGGUGAGUGGAACUGCGAGUGUAGAGGUGAAAUUCGUAGAUAUCGAGAGGAACACCGGUGGCGAAGGCGGCCAACUGGGACGAAAUACUGACGCUGAGACUCGAAAGCGUGGGGGAGCAAACAGG
rnacentral:rRNA from 1 species